rnacentral:misc_RNA from 1 species
GAUGAAGAACGCAGCGAAAGGCGAUAAGUAAUGUGAAUUACAGAAUUCAGUGAAUCAUCGAAUCUUUGAACGCACAUUGCGCCCGCCAGUAUUCUGGCGGGCAUGCCUGUUCGAGCGUCAUUACUACCCUCAGGCCCCCGGGCCUGGCGUUGGGGAUCGGCGGAGCCCCCCGUGGGCACACGCCGUCCCCCAAAUACAGUGGCGGUCCCGCCGCAGCUUCCAUCGCGUAGUAGCUAACACCUCGCGACUGGAGAGCGGCGCGGCCACGCCGUAAAACACCCAACUCUUCUGAAGUUGACCUCGAAUCAGGUAGGAAUACCCGCUGAACUUAAGCAUAUCAAUAAGCGGAGGA